GUAGGGGGCAAGCGUUGUCCGGAUUUAUUGGGCGUAAAGCGCGUGUAGGCGGCCAUGCAGGUCCGCUGUGAAAACUGGAGGCUCAACCUCCAGAGGUCGGUGGAAACCGCAUGGCUAGAGUCCGGAAGAGGGGACUGGAAUUCCCGGUGUAGCGGUGGAAUGCGCAGAUAUCGGGAGGAACACCCGUGGCGAAGGCGGGUCCCUGGGACGGUACUGACGCUGAGACGCGAAAGCGUGGGGAGCGAACAGGAUUAGAUACCCUGGUAGUCCACGCCGUAAACGAUGGGCACUAGGUGUGGGAGGUGUCGACUCCUCCCGUGCCGAAGCUAACGCAUUAAGUGCCCCGCCUGGGGAGUACGGCCGCAAGGCUAAA
rnacentral:rRNA from 1 species